rnacentral:rRNA from 1 species
GACGUAGGAGGCGAGCGUUUAUCCGGAUUCACUGGGCGUAAAGCGCAUGUAGGCGGUUGGACAAGUCGUGUGUUAAAGCCCCUGGCUCAACUGGGGAGGGUCACGCGAUACUGAUCGACUCGAAGGCAGGGAGGAGGUAGUGGAAUUCCCGGUGUAGUGGUGAAAUGCGUAGAUAUCAGGAGGAACACCGGUGGCGAAGGCGGCCCUCUGGACGAGUACUGACGCUGGAGGCGCGAAAGCGUGGGGAUCAAACAGG